rnacentral:rRNA from 1 species
GACGAACCGUGCGAACGUUGUUCGGAAUCACUGGGCUUAAAGGGCGCGUAGGCGGCCGAUCGCGUCCGGGGUGAAAGCUUCCGGCUUAACCGGAACAGUGCCCCGGGUACGGACCGGCUGGAGGGAGGUAGGGGUAGGUGGAACUUCCGGUGGAGCGGUGAAAUGCGUAGAGAUCGGAAAGAACACCAACGGCGAAAGCACUCUGCUGGGCCGACACUGACACUGAGAGACGAAAGCUAGGGGAGCGAAUGGG